UACAGAGGGUGCAAGCGUUGUUCGGAAUUAUUGGGCGUAAAGGGCGCGUAGGCGGUUCGGCAAGUCUUCAGUGAAAUCUCUCGGCUCAACUGAGAGUCUGCUGGGGAAACUGCCGGGCUUGAGUGUGGGAGAGGAGAGUGGAAUUCCUGGUGUAGCGGUGAAAUGCGUAGAUAUCAGGAGGAACACCUGAGGCGAAAGCGGCUCUCUGGACCACAACUGACGCUGAGGCGCGAAAGCUAGGGGAGCAAACAGG
rnacentral:rRNA from 1 species